rnacentral:rRNA from 1 species
GUCGGGAAUUUUGGGCAAUGGGCGAAAGCCUGACCCAGCAACGCCGCGUGAAGGAUGAAGUAUUUCGGUAUGUAAACUUCGUAAGAAUAGGAAGAAUAAAUGACGGUACUAUUUGUAAGGUCCGGCUAACUACGUGCCAGCAGCCGCGGUAAUACGUAGGGACCAAGCGUUGUUCGGAUUUACUGGGCGUAAAGGGCGCGUAGGCGGCGUGGUAAGUCAGCUGUGAAAUCUCCGAGCUUAACUCGGAACGGUCAGCUGAUACUGCUGUGCUAGAGUACAGAAAGGGCAAUCGGAAUUCUUGGUGUAGCGGUGAAAUGCGUAGAUAUCAAGAGGAACACCUGAGGCGAAGGCGGGUUGCUAGGCUGAUACUGACGCUGAGGCGCGAAAGCUAGGGUAGCAAACGGGAUUAGAAACCCGAGUAGUCC